CGGGCCAUUGCCUUCCGAGCCCACUA
rnacentral:siRNA from 1 species